UCAGAUUGAACGCUGGCGGCAGGCCUAACACAUGCAAGUCGAGCGGUAACAGGUCCUUCGGGAUGCUGACGAGCGGCGGACGGGUGAGUAAUGCAUGGGAACUUGCCCAGUAGUGGGGGAUAGCCCGGGGAAACCCGGAUUAAUACCGCAUACGCCCUGAGGGGGAAAGCGGGCUUUCGGGCUCGCGCUAUUGGAUGGGCCCAUGUCGGAUUAGUUUGUUGGUGGGGUAACGGCUUACCAAGGCGACGAUCCGUAGCUGGUCUGAGAGGAUGAUCAGCCACACCGGGACUGAGACACGGCCCGGACUCCUACGGGAGGCAGCAGUGGGGAAUAUUGGACAAUGGGGGCAACCCUGAUCCAGCCAUGCCGCGUGUGUGAAGAAGGCUUUCGGGUUGUAAAGCACUUUCAGUCGGGAGGAAAAGCUGUAGGUUAAUACCCUGCAGUGUUGACGUUACCGGCAGAAGAAGCACCGGCUAACUCCGUGCCAGCAGCCGCGGUAAUACGGAGGGUGCAAGCGUUAAUCGGAAUUACUGGGCGUAAAGGGCGCGUAGGCGGUUUGGUAAGCGAGUUGUGAAAGCCCCGGGCUCAACCUGGGAAUGGCAAUUCGAACUGCUAGGCUAGAGUGCAGCAGAGGGUAGUGGNAAUUCCCGGUGUA
rnacentral:rRNA from 1 species